GAUGAAGAACGUAGUGAAAUGCGAUAAGUAAUGUGAAUUGCAGAAUUCAGUGAAUCAUCGAAUCUUUGAACGCACAUUGCGCCCGCCAGUAUUCUGGCGGGCAUGCCUGGUCGAGCGUCAUUUCAACCAUCAAGCCCCCGGCUUGUGUUGGGGACCUGCGGCUGCCGCAGGCCCUGAAAACCAGUGGCGGGCUCGCUGUCACACCGAGCGUAGUAGAUUUUCAUCUCGCUCAGGGCGUGCUGCGGGUUCCGGCCGUAAAAAGCCUUAUUUACCCAAGGUUGACCUCGGAUCAGGUAGGAAGACCCGCUGAACUUAAGCAUAUCAAUAAGCGGAGGA
rnacentral:misc_RNA from 1 species